rnacentral:rRNA from 1 species
AUGGCCGCGGGAUUGUGCCAGCGCCCGGUAAUACAGGAGGCCCGAGCGUUAAUCGGAAUCACUGGGCUUAAAGGGUGCGUAGGCGGACCCGUAUGUGUACUGUGAAAUCCCUCGGCUCAACCGGGGAAUUGCAGCGCAAACGGCGGGUCUUGAGGAAGGUAGGGGCCGUUGGAACGAUCGGUGGAGCGGUGAAAUGCGUUGAUAUCGAUCGGAACGCCGAAGGUGAAGAACAAGGCGGCUGGGCCUUUUCCCUGACGCUCAUGCACGAAAGGCGUGGGGAUCAAACAGGAUUAAGAUACCCUGGGUAGUCCACGCCGUAAACCGAUGUGCACUGGAUCGAUGCAGAUCUGACUCUGUGUUGGUCGGAGAGAAAUUGUUAAGUGCACCGCCUGGGGAGUACGGUCGCAAGGCUAAAACUCAAAGGAAAUUGACGGGGGCUCACACAAGCGGUGGAGCAUGUUGCUUAAUUCGAUGCAACGCGAAGAACCUUACCUGGGCUUGACAUGCACGGAUUAACUCUAUGAAAGUAGAGCCACACCCUCGGGUGGAACGUGCACAGGUGCUGCAUGGCUGUCGUCAGCUCGUGCUGUGAAGUGUCGGGUUAAGUCCCUUAACGAGCGCAACCCCUGUCGUUAGUUGCUAACGCGUCAUGGCGAGGACUCUAACGAGACUGCCGGUGUCAAACCGGAGGAAGGUGGGGAUGACGUCAAGUCCUCAUGGCCCUUACGUCCAGGGUCGCAAACGGUGCUACAAUGGCGUGUACAAAGCGGAUGCAAGACCGCGAGGUGGGAGCAAAUCGCAAAAAGCACGCCCCAGUUCAGAUUGCAGUCUUGCAACCCGACUGCAUGGAAGCCGGAAUCCGCUAUGUAAUCGCGGAUCAGCUAUGCCGCGGUGGAAUAUGUUCCUGAGCCUUGUACACACCGCCCGUCAAGUCAUGGAAGCCGGGAGUGCCCGAAGUCGCCAUAAUUCAAUGGUGGCCCACGGCAAGCUCGGUGACUGGGACUAAGUCGUAACAAGGUAGCCGUAGGAGAACCUGCGGCUGGAACACU